GUCGAUGCCGGCGUUUCCCGCUCCAGGCUGUCGUCCAUGGAGUUUGUGUUGUCAGCAUUCAGCUCGGUGGAUGUCAGCCAGCGGUGGAAGGCGUCGUCUCGCU
ensembl:ncRNA mir-4976 mir-4976 stem loop